rnacentral:tRNA from 1 species
GGUGUAUAGCUCAGUGGUAGAGCCCUUGCCUAGCAUGCAUGAAGCCCUGGGUUUGAACCCCUGCACCA